AUGAUCGUUACUUUGUGGGCUAUCUGGAGUACACGGCGGAAAGCUAUACAUGAAGAGAUCUUGCAGACUCCAUUUGCCACUGACAACUUCAUCAAAUCUUACUUGUUAGACAUAGAGUUCUUGAAGAAGAAGGAGAACACACAGGUGAUAGCAGUACCGCGACCAAGUGGGUGGGUUCCGCCACCCACAGACAUUGCUGUGUCCCGCUCGGGCAUGUUUGGCGCAGUUGGUGUGGUUUGCAGGGAUGCGAGGGGUUUGUUCAUGGGAGCUUCGGCCCUCGUUCUCAGGGGAUUCCGCAACCCCCAGGUGCUAGAAGCACUAGCUGUACGGGAUGCAUUGGCACUUUCAGAAGAUCUCUACAUCAACCAAAUAUUGGUGGCCUCGGAUUGUAAGGUGGUGGUAGAUGCGAUCAAGCAAGGAAGCUCAGCAGACUUCGGUGCCAUUGUCCAAGAGAUCAAGGCUAGAGCAACUACCUUUAUUUCAUGUUCGUUUAGUCAUGAGUAUAGGACCUCCAACACGGAGGUCCAUAAUCUCGCAAAGCAUGCUUUAUCUUUAGGGUUUGGUCGUCACACCUGGCUAGGCCAGCCCGGCGUUCUUCUCUUUGUACCUAUGAACAUUUCGAUUCAGUAA
rnacentral:rRNA from 1 species